GAACCUUACCAAGGUUUGACAUGGGCCGAAAACCUCCAGAGAUGGGGGGUCCUUCGGGGCGGUUCACAGGUGGUGCAUGGCUGUCGUCAGCUCGUGUCGUGAGAUGUUGGGUUAAGUCCCGCAACGAGCGCAACCCUCGCCCUUAGUUGCCAUCAUUCAGUUGGGCACUCCAGGGGGACUGCCGGUGAUAAGCCGGAGGAAGGUGGGGAUGACGUCAAGUCCUCAUGGCCCUUACAGGCUGGGCUACACACGUGCUACAAUGGCGGUGACAGCGGGAGGCGAAGGGGCGACCCUUAGCAAAUCUCGAAAAGCCGUCUCAGUUCGGAUUGCACUCUGCAACUCGAGUGCAUGAAGUUGGAAUCGCUAGUAAUCGCGGAUCAGCACGCCGCGGUGAAUACGUUCCCGGGCCUUGUCACACCGA
rnacentral:rRNA from 1 species